CUCAUAAAUGUUACAAUGUUGGAUAGUCUUGCAUUUUUGGUGUGAGCUUGCACGCCAUUUUUGGAUGCCUCUCUUCGCAGGGUUUAGCAUCAGGCUGCGUUGUGAUGUCACCACAAGGUGGAGGGGGAGGAGCUAUUCAUCAGGCUGUGAGGAAACACAAUAAAGGGAAGCCAUGGAGGAGCCAAGAAAGUCGCAGCUGCCUCUUUGACAGCUGCAGGAAGAACAACACAAGCUCUGAUCAUGUUUACGCUGUCCAUAACGUUCCUACUUGUGUGGAUUCUUCAUUCAUCACUUUAACCAAUGUUU